GAUGAACGCUGGCGGCGUGCCUAAUACAUGCAAGUCGAGCGAACAGACGAGGAGCUUGCUCCUCUGACGUUAGCGGCGGACGGGUGAGUAACACGUGGAUAACCUACCUAUAAGACUGGUAUAAUCUCGGGAAACCGGAGCUAAUACCGUAUAAUAUAUUGAACCGCAGGGUGGAAUAGUGAAAGUCGGUUGUGCUGGAACUUCUAGAUGGAUCUGCGCCGCAUUAGCUGGUUGUUAAGGUUACCGGCUAUCAAGGGGACGAGGCGUUACCGACCUCAGAGGGUGGUAGCCCACCCGGGAGCUUGGACGCGGUCCAGGCUCCUGCGGUAGGCCGCAGUAGGGAAUCUUCCGCAGUGGGCGAGAGCUUGGCGGAGCAGCGCCGAGUGAGUGAUGAAGGUCUUCGGAUCGUAAUGCUCUGUUAUUAGUGGAGAACAAAUGUGUAAGUAGCUAUGCACGUAGUGACGGUACCUGAUCAGAAAGCCCCGGCUAACUACGUG
rnacentral:rRNA from 1 species